UACUUCUACAGCUAAUUUACUAAAACUUGGACGAUACAGAGAAGAUUAAUAUGGCCACUGCGCAAGAAUGAAACUCAAAACUAUGAAGCGUUAUGUUUUUUU